rnacentral:rRNA from 1 species
GACGAACGCUGGCGGCGUGCUUAACACAUGCAAGUCGAACGGAAAGGCCCUGCUUUUGUGGGGUGCUCGAGUGGCGAACGGGUGAGUAACACGUGAGUAACCUGCCCUUGACUUUGGGAUAACUUCAGGAAACUGGGGCUAAUACCGGAUAGGAGCUCCUGCUGCAUGGUGGGGGUUGGAAAGUUUCGGCGGUUGGGGGUGGACUCGCGGCUUAUCAGCUUGUUGGUGGGGUAGUGGCUUACCAAGGCUUUGACGGGUAGCCGGCCUGAGAGGGUGACCGGCCACAUUGGGACUGAGAUACGGCCCAGACUCCUACGGGAGGCAGCAGUGGGGAAUAUUGCACAAUGGGCGGAAGCCUGAUGCAGCAACGCCGCGUGCGGGAUGACGGCCUUCGGGUUGUAAACCGCUUUCGCCUGUGACGAAGCGUGAGUGACGGUAAUGGGUAAAGAAGCACCGGCUAACUACGUGCCAGCCGCCGCUGUAA